UGCUUGCAGCAUUGACUUGUAGAGGGCCCCAACGUAGCUGCUUCACCUACUCCCUAGAAAGACUUUCUUGUCUAUAUGUGAACCUGUGCUUUUUGGGCCAAAAGCAUGGAUACCAUUCUAGUUUUACUGAAUCUGUUCUUAGCAUGGCUAGAGGGAAAUUUGUCACAUAAUUUUCCAAAAUUAUGAUCAAAGAAAAUUCUUGAAACUUGAGACAUUCAUUGGGAAAUAUCCCAAAACAAGAAAAAAACAAAGGGUCAUAAGGACUUCAGGAUCUGACUCCUUGACAAGUCACAGGUAUGUGUUAAUGGCACCAAUAUUUGAACAGAAAUAGACAUUUGUCUUGGGCAAACAGGACAGAUUAGGCAGUAUUAUUUCUUAUCUAACAACAAGUGCUUUAUAAAUGUCACAUUUUCUACAAUAUCGUGUGGUGGGACUUAUGACACCAUUCCUUCAGUAUUUUUUAUUAUUAUUAUUAUUUUUU